rnacentral:rRNA from 1 species
AACCUCCGCAAUGUGAGAAAUCGCGACGGGGGGAUCCCAAGUGCCAUUCUUAACGGGAUGGCUUUUCAUUAGUGUAAAGAGCUUUUGGAAUAAGAGCUGGGCAAGACCGGUGCCAGCCGCCGCGGUAACACCGGCAGCUCUAGUGGUAACAAUUUUUAUUGGGCCUAAAGCGUCCGUAGCCGGUUUAAUAAGUCUCUGGUGAAAUCCUGCAGCUUAACUGUGGGAAUUGCUGGAGAUACUAUUAGACUUGAGACCGGGAGAGGUUAGAGGUACUCCCAGGGUAGAGGUGAAAUUCUGUAAUCCUGGGAGGACCGCCUGUUGCGAAGGCGUCUAACUGGAACGGUUCUGACGGUGAGGGACGAAAGUUAGGGGCGCGAACCGGAUUAGAUACCCGGGUAGUCCUAACUGUAAACGAUGCGGACUUGGUGUUGGGGUGGCUUUGAGCUGCUCAGUGCCGAAGGGAAGCUGUUAAGUCCGCCGCCUGGGAAGUACGGUCGCAAGACUGAAACUUAAAGGAAUU